AGAGUUUGAUCCUGGCUCAGAUUGAACGCUGGCUGCAGGCCUAACACAUGCAAGUCGAGCGGUAGAGAGAAGCUUGCUUCUCUUGAGAGCGGCGGACGGGUGAGUAAUGCCUAGGAAUCUGCCUGGUAGUGGGGGAUAACGUUCGGAAACGGACGCUAAUACCGCAUACGCCCUACGGGAGAAAGCAGGGGACCUUCGGGCCUUGCGCUAUCAGAUGAACCUAGGUCGGAUUAGCUAGUUGGAGAGGUAAUGGCUCACCAAGGCGACGAUCCGUAACUGGUCUGAAAGGAUGAUCAGUCACACUGGUACUGAGACACGGUCCAGACUCCUACGGGAGGCAGCAGUGGGGAAUAUUGGACAAUGGGCGAAAGCCUGAUCCAGCCAUGCCGCGUGUGUGAAUAAGGUCUUCGGAUUGUAAAGCACUUUAAGUUGGGAGGAAGGGCAGUAAAUUAAUACUUUGCUGUUUUGACGUUACCGACAGAAUAAGCACCGGCUAACUCUGUGCCAGCAGCCGCGGUAAUACAGAGGGUGCAAGCGAUAAUCGGAAUUACUGGGCGUAAAGCGCGCGUACGUGGAUUGUUAAGAUGGAUGUGAAAUCCCCGGGCUCAACCUGUGAACUGCAUUCAAAACUGACUGACUAGAGUAUGGUAGAGGGUGGUGGAAUUUCCUGUGUAGCGGUGAAAUGCGUAGAUAUAGGAAGGAACACCAGUGGCGAAGGCGACCACCUGGACUAAUACUGACACUGAGGUGCGAAAGCCUGGGGAGCAAACAGGAUUAGAUACCCUGGUAGUCCACGCCGUAAACGAUGUCAACUAGCCGUUGGAAGCCUUGAGCUUUUAGUGGCGCAGCUAACCCAUUAAGUUGACCGCCUGGGGAGUACGGCCGCAAGGUUAAAACUCAAAUGAAUUGACGGGGGCCCGCACAAGCGGUGGAGCAUGUGGUUUAAUUCGAAGCAACGCGAAGAACCUUACCAGGCCUUGACAUCCAAUGAACUUUCUAGAGAUAGAUUGGUGCCUUCGGGAACGUUGAGACAGGUGCUGCAUGGCUGUCGUCAGCUCGUGUCGUGAGAUGUUGGGUUAAGUCCCGUAACGAGCGCAACCCUUGUCCUUAGUUACCAGCACGUAAUGGUGGGCACUCUAAGGAGACUGCCGGUGACAAACCGGAGGAAGGUGGGGAUGACGUCAAGUCAUCAUGGCCCUUACGGCCUGGGCUACACACGUGCUACAAUGGUCGGUACAGAGGGUUGCCAAGCCGCGAGGUGGAGCUAAUCCCACAAAACCGAUCGUAGUCCGGAUCGCAGUCUGCAACUCGACUGCGUGAAGUCGGAAUCGCUAGUAAUCGCGAAUCAGAAUGUCGCGGUGAAUACGUUCCCGGGCCUUAAAUCACCGCCCGUC
rnacentral:rRNA from 1 species